UGCGAGAGCGUCAUCCGUUUGUCAGUUCCUCCAACGCAGCAUUACGUCGAACACCUUGUCAAAAAUGAUUGAGAUGGCCAAUCAAAUCAAAAAAGGCGAGUGCCACUGGCCAAUCACAUAACAGAAGACGAGCUUUCCUGUUAACGCAAGCCGAGCGGCGCCCAAUCAAAUUAACCAAUAGGCGGGUUUACCGCCAGGAGAAGCAGUUACGCUGCGUCAAUCAAUCAUAACGGACACGGAUUUCAAAGGCAGCAGGAUGAAAGAUAACCAUGUAUCAGGUCUGUGUUCAUCAAGACAUGAAGACUCUGGAGUGGGACAAGAGAAGGAUGGUGGGGUAAUAUUCCAAUAGACACAUUAAGUGAAAGCUGAUAAAUACAGAGGGCUGGACAGUGGUUUCAUUGAUUAGGUAAAGAGGUGGGACAAUGAUGCUGACAGGACAGGAGGAGGUGACAUUCAGGUUAGUGACAGUACAUCAGGGCCACCAUUUAAUUUAAUGUUAAUUUGUUUGCUUCCAAAAUCAAUACUUGACAAAUCUUUACAAGUAUAUUUGCAAAGCUGAAUUUCUCAUAGGUGGAUAAAGUAUGACAGCAAUUGUGAAGACCUUAGACGUCGUGCAGUAUAUGGUUCUUCUCAUAAAUUGAUGUUUACUCACUCCUCUUUCAUUUAUAUUGAUUUGACUUAAUUUUCUUGGUAACUAAUAA